rnacentral:rRNA from 1 species
UGAGAGGGCGGACGGCCACAUUGGGACUGAGACACGGCCCAGACUCCUGCGGGAGGCAGCAGUGGGGGAUAUUGCACAAUGGGGGAAACCCUGAUGCAGCGACGCCGCGUGAGUGAAGAAGUAAUUCGUUACGUAAAGCUCUAUCAGCAGGGAAGAAAAUGACGGUACCUGACUAAGAAGCCCCGGCUAACUACGUGCCAGCAGCCGCGGUAAUACGUAGGGGGCAAGCGUUAUCCGGAAUUACUGGGUGUAAAGGGAGCGCAGACGGCAGUGCAAGUCUGGAGUGAAAGCCCGUGGCUUAACUACGGGACUGCUCUGGAAACUGUGCAGCUAGAGUGCAGGAGAGGCAGGCGGAAUUCCUAGUGUAGCGGUGAAAUGCGUAGAUAUUAGGAGGAACACCGGUGGCGAAGGCGGCCUGCUGGACUGUAACUGACGUUGAGGCUCGAAAGCGUGGGGAGCAAACAGGAUUAGAUACCCUGGUAGUCCACGC